GAGGGAAAAGAAACCUGCCUUAUCCGCUCCGAGCCAACCAAGGGAGAGGAAUCCCAGCUGAGACCUGACCUUGGGAUUUUGCCGCUCCCGCUCCUCCUCCUCCGUGCGCUCCGGCGACCUCAGGCAGGCAGGCAGGCAGUCCAAGGCCAGGAUGGCGGCGUGCCCCGCCGCGACCACGGCUCGCGUGGGAGCAGCGCACGGAGGAGGAGGCCCCUGGAGGAGAAGCGUCCUCGCGCGCCCGGCCCGCGGCACGAGCACGGCGGCGCGCGCCUCGGAGCUGCAGCAGGCCACCACCCCGGCACCGGCCGGCGCCGUCCCGACCCACAAGGUGACCGUCCACGACCGGGAGCGCGGGGUCGUCCACCAGUUCGUCGUGCCCCAGGACCAGUACAUUCUGCACACCGCGGAGGCGCAGGACAUCACGCUCCCCUUCGCCUGCCGCCAUGGUUGCUGUACAAGCUGUGCUGUUAGGAUAAAAUCGGGCCAAAUAAGACAGCCUGAAGCCCUUGGAAUAUCGGCUGACUUAAGAGAGCAGGGCUAUGCGUUGUUAUGUGUUGGUUACCCCUCCUCUGAUCUUGAAGUUGAAACUCAAGAUGAAGAUGAGGUAUAUUGGCUCCAGUUUGGAAGAUACUUUGCGCGAGGGCCUGUUGUAAGUAUAGCCAACUUUUCUUAUUCGAAAAACUCCGGUUUCUAUCUUCUACUAGGAUGCCCACGCGUGGUACAAGUGAUUAACCUAAGCUGAUGGCUGUGGCUGUCAGCCGAACUGUUUUCCUUUUUGCGGGUUAAAUUGUUGUUAUUGGUACUCGUCUUAAAUAUGUGAAUAUUUCAAACUUUGCUAAGAUGAAAUCGGCCCGUCUUUCCAUUUCAGGAUAGAGAUGAUUAUGCGCUAGAGCUCGCAAUGGGAGACGAGUGAAAUGUGCCUAAGAGGUUAUAUAGAGUUGCAAAGACGUGGUUUCCAAGUGGAGAAAGAAAAAAAAAUGUCCCCUCUGCUCACUGUUAUAUAAGUCUCCUGUGUUUUUUGGAAAUUUGCUGUGCAAAUAUGCUUCUUCUAGAGAUGCCAUUUCUCAUCUUUUCUGCACCUGGUACACUCAAAAUGCGAUGGAAUGUAUGUAAAGACGUGAACUACUCGGCGCCUCAACUCAAUCUUCGGUGCAACAAGACUACAAGAGGAUGAUUCUAGCUGUGGUUGUCACUUGCGCCAAUAAACUCCAUUCCACUUAAGGACGUUUCAAUUGAUGUUGCUUAUCAGUUUGUCA